AUUGAACGCUGGCGGCAGGCCUAACACAUGCAAGUCGAACGAAUGGCGGACGGGUGAGUAAUGUCUGGGAAACUGCCUGAUGGAGGGGGAUAACUACUGGAAACGGUAGCUAAUACCGCAUACCAUCGGAUGUGCCCAGAUGGGAUUAGCUAGUAGGUGGGGUAAAGGCUCACCUAGGCGACGAUCCCUAGCUGGUCUGAGAGGAUGACCGGCACAACUGGAACGGGGAAACGGUCAAGACUCUACCGGGAGGCAGCAGUGGGGAAUAUUGCACAAUGGGGGCAAGCCUGAUGCAGCAAGGCCGCGUGUAUGAAGAAGGCCUUCGGGUUGUAAAGUACUUUCAGCGGGGAGGCGUUACCCGAAGAAGAAGCCCCGGCUAACUCCGUGCCAGCAGCCGCGGUAAUAC
rnacentral:rRNA from 1 species